CGUGGCCCCGGAGCGGGUGGCGGCUCUGCCGGGCUGGCGCAUCGCUCUUCCCGGGCGCCCUACCCUUCGGAGCGGAGCAGCGCAACUCCAGGAGCGGCAGGACCAUCGGGCAGGCAGCUCUGAAAGAAAAGCCCUGUGCCUGCAGAGUGUUGUCAGUUGCAGACAACUGUACCCACAUGAAACCCUGCUGCUGUCUCUGCAUGAUUUCAAAGUUAAGAGUCCCAUAAAGCCUAAUGGAUUUUUCCUUCCAUUUUCCUGACAAACUCGCCAAAUUCCUGAGAAACACAAACUUGUUU
rnacentral:lncRNA from 1 species